rnacentral:rRNA from 1 species
AUGGAGGAGUCGAGCUUCACGCAGUGGGCGCUAAACACGCUGGACCAGCACACCUUCCCCGCCGCCGCCUCUCCGGUAUACUAUACUGACAGCUUCCACUGCGGCGACCAUACUGCCGCCGCCUUCCCCUCGCAGCAGGAACUCUGCACCCCUCGCCAGCCUCUGCCGACGGCGGCCGGUGACAAGCCGGACCUGACGGUGCAGGUCGACAACCAGUACGGGGAUAGCAGCUCCGGCGAUGCGGUGGUCCACGCCACCGUCGCCAGGGCUAGCACGCCAAUGAGCUGGAAGUCCAGUGCUCCGUCGACGCAGUCGGCCGUGAGAGGAGGACAUAAGCGUGCUGCCGGGAGGAGAUCUGGGAGGAACUUGCAGGCCUCCGCAGUGUCGGCGUCGUCGGUGUCCCCUGAUCCCGCCAACGGCCACAUAAUCGCGGAGCGUCGCCGGAGGGAGAAGAUCAACCAGAGGCUCAUGGAGCUCUCCACUCUUAUCCCUGGCCUAAAGAAGAUGAACAAGGCAACGAUUAUUGGGGAUGCGGUGAAGCACCUGAGAGAGCUCCAAGAGAAGGUGAACAUCCUGGAGAACAACAACAGGUAUGCUGCCACCACCACCAUCUGCUCCACUGUGCUCGUCCACAAGAACAGACCCUGCCUAGGUGGCCUCACCAGUAACUACGGCGAUGAUAACGUCGGUCAACCGAGCCAGUUGGGCACAUGGCUUCCAGAGAUCAAGGUCCGGUUUUCAGAUAAGAGUGUGCUCGUGCAGAUCCACUGUGAGAACACAAAUGGACUACUAGUGAGGGUACUGGCAGAGGUGGAGGUACUCCGACUUGCCAUCACCCACACCAGCAGCAUGCCAUUCCUAGCUGACACCACCAUCAUCAACAUUACCGCCAAGUUGGGAGAGGGGUUCAAUACAACAAUGGAGGAGAUGGUAAGAAGGAUCAACUCAGUGCUGGAUCAACAUUAG